GUCUUUCUAGUUUUCUCCUUCUUCUUGGCCAUGGUUGUUGUCUUUCCCUUCUUUAUCUGCUUCAAGGAUGCUGCUGUAAAUAUUUUCAAUUGCUAGAUGGUACAUUAUAGGAGUACAUCCGAUUCAUUCCUUCCUUUAAAUUACAUAUAAACAUUCUCAAAAUAUCUAUGGAGAAGCUCUUUUCCCUAGUACCUGGCCGUAGGCUUCUGCUGUAAAUCUUUUCAAUUGCUGGGAUUAAGGCUUUUGGAGCAGUUCUAUUAGAAUAAAAGAACAUUAUUUUAACAGAAAGCAUUAAUGAGAUUGCUACUUUUCAUGUUUAUUGUUGUACAAAACAUUAGCAGAAUUAUGGGCCUGCUCAUCGUGCAUCUUCAAUGUUUCAUUGCGCACCUUCUGCACCUUCUUUUUCUUCUUCUCUAUUGAUGCCUUUGAAAUUGGUGUAUUGAUAUUUUGUGCAUUGGUAGGACUGGUAUUUUGCUCAUCACAAGCCUCGUAAUUGUCCAGUGAAUCAACUUCGUUCCCUUUCUCCUCCUCAACCUGAUCUGCCCAGCUUUUGGAUACAUACUCGUCUUCAUCUUCUUCAUAUUUAGUCUGAAUCAUAAUCAUAUUCUCCUUCUUUAUAAACAAUCCUUUCCUUAGGCUUUUUUGUUGCUGAAGACAUCAUCGGCAGUGUUUGUUGAUGGUGUGAUAAGUGUAUUGAGUUCUCUGAUCGACCAACAAGGUCAUUAGAUGGUAUUUCAUGUUUGGAGGUAUGUUUUUAUUUUCAUUCUUCUUCUUCUUCUUCUUCUUCUUCUUCUAAACAUCCAAAAAGCGCUGAAAUGUUGCAGAAUGUUUUUCAGAAAAAUUCAGCCCCGUUUCUGCCCAAAUUCUACCCAGAUUCUACCUAAUUUCUGCCCAGAUUCUGCUAAAUUGUUGUCUAUGCCGUAUUUAUUUACUGGUGAGUGCAUUGAGAGGAUUCAAAUUCUCCAGUAUUUUAGCUCCUACUGUCGUGAGGUUACCAGAUAUUGUAGUCCAAUCCCCCGCCAUAUUUUUCUCCUCUUUGAUGCCCAAAUUAUGUGCAUUCAGUUUGGCUAUAGAUCUGUUAGCAUUCCCAGCAGAAUUAGCAUUGCCACUGAGAUGUGGUGCUCCAGUUGAUUGUACUGCUUCUUGCCCUUUUUUAUGCACCUCGCCUACUAGUUUUUUAACUAAAUCAACAAGUAGAUUUAGGAUCCCCAUCAGUAGGUCAAUCACCAGUUGCAUUUAAUGCAACAGUAGCCUCAACUUUGAACAUACAAUAGCUGCUUCAAUUUCAGAUUUCUCAUGUCCUACUAAUACAUUUGUUGCAUGAUUUGAAGAUAGCUUCACCACAAUAGCUUGAUGCAAUCCCUCCUCCUUUGCGAAUUCCAUCCGUUUCUUCAUUGAAAACUGAAUUGUUGGAAAUCCAUGUAUAACUUCAAUAGGUUUCAAGUAUUUUUGGUUCAAAGUAGCGGUUGUUUUUGCUUGGUACAGGCGUGCAACAUAUGUAUUUUGAUUGCUAUUGUUUUGGAUGCUUUCUUCAAUAGUUGGAGGGGGCUCUCCCACAGCCAAAGGCUGGGGAGAGAGAGGAGCAGCCAUGGCUGCCUUAGUUCACCAUUCUUGUCACUAGAGAGAGGAGAGAGGAGAGAGUGUAGGUGUGGGUUUAACAGGAAGCAUUAUAUAUGACUCUGGUACCUUUCUGUUUGAUAUUUUAACAUGAAGCAUUAUAUAUUUCAUUGUUUGAUGUUUCUUUUUGUUUGCAGAGAAUGUCUAAAACUAACAUUGAGAAUCGAAAAAAGUUGAAGAAUCCUCACACUGCUGGAAAAAGAAAUUUUGCUUUAGUUCGCUCUAAGUUGGAAAAAGACAAGGAAACUUCGGAUCCUUUAUCAGCAAAGAAAGUCUUUGUUUCUAUAAGGAAAAGAAAAGUUGGGCGAUCAUACAAGUCCUCAGAUGAAGAUACAACUAGUAAAAUUGCUAAAAUGGUGGAAAUUGAAGCACAACAAAACGAAAAUGGCAAUGAGUCCGUAGAGGCAUUUGCAUCUGUCAUGAGACCUGAAGAUCCGGG